AUACUGCUGCUAUUUAUGAUCAUGCUGAUGGUAUCAAAAUAUUGUUGAGAAGGAAUAAGGAAUGUGUAAACAAAACCAACAAUCGAAAAGAAACACCUUUACAUAUAGCUGUCAGAUAUGGUCAUACAAAAUGUGCUGAAUUGCUGAUUGAAAAUGGGGCUUCAUUACAUGCAGUUGAUAAUAUUGGAGAUACUCCAAUACACACAGCAAUCCAAUACAGACAA